rnacentral:rRNA from 1 species
AUUGAACGCUGGCGGCAGGCCUAACACAUGCAAGUCGAACGGUAACAGGAAACAGCUUGCUGUUUCGCUGACGAGUGGCGGACGGGUGAGUAAUGUCUGGGAAACUGCCUGAUGGAGGGGGAUAACUACUGGAAACGGUAGCUAAUACCGCAUAACGUCGCAAGACCAAAGAGGGGGACCUUCGGGCCUCUUGCCAUCGGCUGUGCCCAGAUGGGAUUAGCUAGUAGGUGGGGUAACGGCUCACCUAGGCGACGAUCCCUAGCUGGUCUGAGAGGAUGACCAGCCACACUGGAACUGAGACACGGUCCAGACUCCUACGGGAGGCAGCAGUGGGGAAUAUUGCACAAUGGGCGCAAGCCUGAUGCAGCCAUGCCGCGUGUAUGAAGAAGGCCUUCGGGUUGUAAAGUACUUUCAGCGGGGAUGAAGGGAGUAAAGUUAAUACCUUUGCUCAUUGACGUUACCCGCAGAAGAAGCACCGGCUAACUCCGCG